GGUCGACUGGUGUAGUGGUUAUCACGUCUGUCUUACAUUCGCACCUCUAUGGUGUAUUGUUAGUACACAGAAGGUCGCAGGUUCGAUCCCUGCGUCGAUCA
rnacentral:tRNA from 1 species